GGGCCCGACACGCCAAGCCCUCUAGUGGAUGGUUAGGCUCGGGUGCUGAUGAAGGUCGUGGCAAGCUGCGAUAAGCCUAGGCGAGGUGCAUGCAGCCUUUGAACCUAGGAUCGCCUAAUGGGACAUCCUGUCAUGGAAAACCCAUGGCACUCGCGGCAGCGAGGGGUAACCCCGUGAAAUGAAACAUCUUAGUACCGGGAGGAAGAGAAAGCAACGGCGAUGCCCUUAGUAACGGCGAGUGAAAAGGGCAUAGGGCAAACCGAACCUGGUCGGGAGACCGACUGGGGAUUUGGUGUUGUAGGGCUCGAUCGCCACCUAAUCGUUCAAGUUGAAGCCCUCUGGAAAGUGGCACCAGAGAGGGUGAUAGUCCCGUAAGCGUAAGACGAAAGGUGUUGGAUCGAGUUCCCUGAGUACCGUGCAUUGGAUUUUGCGCGAGAAGCUGGAAGUAACAACUUCCAACCCUAAACACACCCCGAGACCGAUAGCGAACGCAGUACCGUGAGGGAAAACUGAAAAGUAUCUCGAAAGGGAGAUGAAAAGAGCCUAAAACUAGUUGGUGAUAAAAGGACAAGGCCUGAAAGGAAGGAAUCUCCUCAAAGGAAUCCGUGGCGAUGCGGUAGUACGAGAGGAGAGGACCAAGGUCGUGUCUUCCGUUUGGAAAUACGGGCCAGGGAGUUCAUCUCUGUGGCGAGACUAAGGAGUGUAUCUCCGUAGUCAGAGAGAAAUCAAAAUGCUCGCAGUCCCUUUAUUGGGAUCAGGAGUUGGGUGUGAAAGCGCCCGGAGUCACAGGGGUGAGACCCGAAACCAGGCGAUCUAGCCCGGGGUAGGGUGAAGCCGAUCCUCGGAUUGGUGGAAGCCCGCACCGAUUCUGCCGUACAAUGCGUUCGGAUGACCUUGGGCUAGGGGUGAAAGGCCCAUCUAGCCUGGCGACAGCUGGUUCCUCUCAAAAAUGGUCGAAGCCAUGCCUAGCGCGAGGUAGCUGUCGGUGUAGAGCACUGAUUGAUAAGUUUGGGAGGAGACUCCCGACUUAUCUGUCAAACUCCGAAGCCGACAGUACCGUAGACCGCCGGAGUUAGGGUGCAGGGGGUAAGCUCCUGCUCCGAAAGGGGAACAACCCAGACUGAGGUUAAGGCCCUCAAAUGUCGGCUAAGUGUUAAGCUUAAAGGGAGUCUUUGCCCUUAGACAGCGGGAAGGUAGGCUUAGAAGCAGCCAUCCUUUAAACAGCGCGUAACAGCGAACCCGUUGAGGGUGAAGGCCCCGAAAAUGGACGGGACUAAGCCGACUGCCGAUACCUCAGAGUAGGUGAAGUAAAGUAGCCUAACCUUGUAGAGAGGCAUCCGGCGAGGGUAGAAAUACGGUCGUGAGGUCGUAUGGACCUCGUUGGAAAGAUAAUCCUGGCAGUAGUAGCAGCAAAGUGGAGUGAGAAUCUCUACCGCCGCAGGGGCGCGGGUUCCUCAUCAAUGUUCGUCAGCUGAGGGUUAGCCGGUCCUAAGCCUUCCCUUAAGAUGAAGAUUGCGAAAGGGAAACGGGUUAAUAUUCUCGUGCCAUCUGGGUACCUGCCGUAAGGCUGCGCUUGAAUCCCGACGCUUCGGGAUACGUCGAGUAGGGCUAUCGCCCUAUUUAACCGGUAAAAUCCGGGGAGAGCCGUAACGGCGAGAACCGGAUGAAGCCGGAAAUAGCUUGCCGAAAUGGUGAGUUCGGCGGAUUCCUGGAGCCCGUGAAAAGGGAAUCAAGACUUGGAAUCCCAGAUGUCCGUACCUAGAUCCAACACAGGUGCCCCUAGGUGAGUAGCCUCAGGCGUGUCGGGUGGUCCCAGGCCAGGGAAUUCGGCAAAUUAGCCCCGUACCUUCGGAAGAAGGGGUGCCUGCCUUGAGGAAGGGCAGGUCGCAGUGACCAAGGGGGGCCGACUGUUUAAUAAAAACAUAGUCAACCGCGAGUCCGAAAGGAUGAGUACGGUUGGUGAAUCCUGCCCAGUAGCGGCUUGUCAAGCAGAGUUACAACUCUGUGAAGCGCCGCUAGACGGCGGGGGUAACUAUAACCCUCUUAAGGUAGCGAAGUGCCUUGCCGCUGAAUUAGCGGCUCGCACGAAAGGAUCAACGAGCUCCCCACUGUCCCGGCCCGGGUCCCGGUGAACCUACAAUCUGGCGCAGAGACCAGAACCUCCCGUAGGGAAGCGAAGACCCCGUGGAGCUUGACUGCAGGCUGCUAUUGGGGUUUGGUCGUCGGUGUAAAGUGUAGGCGGGAGCUUUCGAAGCCAGGCCGCCAGGUCUGGUGGAGGUGACCAUGUAACACCGCCCACCCUCGACCGAGUUCCUGACUACGCGAGUAGAACAGUAGCAGUUGGGCAGUUUCGCUGGGGCGGCAGCCCCUCGAAAACUUAUCGAGGGGGUCCAAUGGUCGGCUUAGGCGGGUCAGAAAUCCGCCGGAAAGGACAAGGCCAGAAGCCGGCCUAACUGUGUCGUUACCUCAGGGCGACGCAGGGACGAAAGUCAGGCCUAGCGAACCUCGAUGUCCUCCUUGUUGGGGGCUCGAGAUGACAGAAAAGCUACCCCGGGGAUAACAGAGUGGUCACGGGCAAGAGCCCGUAUCGACCCCGUGGCUUGCUACCUCGAUGUCGGCUCUUCGCAUCCUGGCCGUGCAGCAGCGGCCAAGGGUAGGGUUGUUCGCCCGUUAAAGCGGAUCGUGAGCUGGGUUUAGACCGUCGUGAGACAGGUCGGACGCUAUCUUGCGGGAGUGCUGGAUGCCUGAGGGUAAGGUAGCUUCAGUACGAGAGGAACGAGCUGCCGGCGCCUCUAGUGUACCGGUUGUCCGAUCGGGCAUUGCCGGGUAGCCACGCGCCAACCGAUAAGGCCUGAAAGCAUCUAAGGCUGAAGCGGUACCCGAAAAUUGGCAACCGAUCUUGGUUUUCCUCAGAAAGGUUAUCCUU
rfam:Candidate divison MSBL1 archaeon SCGC-AAA382C18 AAA382C18_Contig_10_C, whole genome shotgun sequence.